rnacentral:tRNA from 1 species
UCCACAGUAGCUCAGUGGUAGAGAUAUCGGCUGUUAACCUAUCAGUCGUAGGUUCGAGUCCUAACUGUGGAGCUA